rnacentral:rRNA from 1 species
AUACGGGGGGUGCAAACGUUGCUCGGAAUCAUUGGGCGUAAAGCGUACGUAGGCGGACUAUUAAGUCUGAUGUGAAAGCCCGGGGCUCAACCUCGGAAUGCCAUUGGAAACUGGUAGUCUUGAGAAUAGGAGGGGUAAGUGGUAUUUCUGGUGUAGGGGUGAAAUCCGUAGAGAUCAGAAGGAACACCGGUGGCGAAGGCGACUUACUGGACUAUUUCUGACGCUGAUGUACGAAAGCAUGGGGAGCAAACAGGAUUAGAUACCCUAGUAGUCC